rnacentral:rRNA from 1 species
UGGGGAAUCUUGCACAAUGGGGGCAACCCUGAUGCAGCGACGCCGCGUGAGCGAUGAAGCCCUUCGGGGCGUAAAGCUCUUUCGACCGGAACGAUAAUGACGGUACCGGGAGAAGAAGCUGCGGCUAACUACGUGCCAGCAGCCGCGGUAAUACGUAGGCAGCAAGCGUUGUUCGGAGUUACUGGGCGUAAAGAGUGCGUAGGCGGUUGUCUAAGUUCGGUGUGAAAUCUCCCGGCUUAACUGGGAGGGUGCGCCGAAGACUGGGAAGCUGGAGUGUGGGAAAGGCAGGCGGAAUUCCUGGUGUAGCGGUGAAAUGCGUAGAUAUCAGGAGGAACACCGGCGGUGUAGACGGCUUGCUAGACCAUAACUGACGCUGAGGCACGAAAGCGUGGGUAGCAAACA